AUUGAACGCUGGCGGCAGGCCUAACACAUGCAAGUCGAGCGGGGUUUUCGGACCUAGCGGCGGACGGGUGAGUAAUGCGUAGGAAGCUACCCGAUAGAGGGGGAUACCAGUUGGAAACGACUGUUAAUACCGCAUAAUGUCUACGGACCAAAGUGUGGGACCUUCGGGCCACAUGCUAUCGGAUGCGCCUACGUGGGAUUAGCUAGUUGGUGAGGUAAUGGCUCACCAAGGCGACGAUCCCUAGCUGGUUUUAGAGGAUGAUCAGCCACACUGGAACGGAGACACGGUCCAGAAUCCUACGGGAGGCAGCAGUGGGGAAUAUUGGACAGUGGGCGCAAGCCUAAUCCAGCCAUGCCGCGGGUGGGAAGAAGGCCUUCGGGUUGUAAAGCACUUUCAGUAGGGAGGAAGCGUUGUGUGUUAAUAGUACACAGCGUUGACGUUACCUACAGAAGAAGCACCGGCUAACUCUGUGCCAGCAGCAGCCGCGGUAA
rnacentral:rRNA from 1 species